CCUACGGGAGGCUGCAGUGAGGAAUAUUGGUCAAUGGACGAGAGUCUGAACCAGCCAAGUAGCGUGAAGGAAGACUGCUCUAUGGGUUGUAAACUUCUUUUAUAUGGGAAUAAAAUGUUCCACGUGUGGGAUUUUGUACGUACCAUAUGAAUAAGGAUCGGCUAACUCCGUGCCAGCAGCCGCGGUAAUACGGAGGAUCCGAGCGUUAUCCGGAUUUAUUGGGUUUAAAGGGAGCGUAGGUGGAUUGGUAAGUCAGUUGUGAAAGUUUUCGGCUCAACCGUAAAAUUGCAGUUGAAACUGGCAGUCUUGAGUACAGUAGAGGUGGGCGGAAUUCGUGGUGUAGCGGUGAAAUGCUUAGAUAUCACGAAGAACUCCGAUUGCGAAGGCAGUUCACUGGACUGCAACUGACACUGAGGCACGAAAGUGUGGGUAGCAAACAGGAUUAGAUACCCGAGUAGUC
rnacentral:rRNA from 1 species